rnacentral:lncRNA from 1 species
UUAGGACAGCCAGCCCUAUCAGAGCCCAAUCAGGGUCCAUUCGCACCAGCAGCCUUCAGACGCCCUAGGGUGCCAUUAGGACAGCAGCCUAUCAGAGCCCAUAGGGUGCCAUUAGGACAGCAGCCUAUCAGAGCCCAUAGGGUUCAAUUAGGACAGCAGCCUAUCAGAGCCCAUAGGGUUCAAUUAGGGCAGCAGCCUAUCAGAGCCCAUAGGGUGCCAAUACAGACCAGUCAUAUCAUUACAGAUCACUCUGAUGGCCAGGACCUAAUAAAGACCAGUCAUAUCAUUACAGAUCACUC